UACGUAGGUGGCGAGCGUUGUCCGGAAUUACUGGGCGUAAAGGGAGCGUAGGCGGUUUUUUAAGUGAGAUGUGAAAUCCCCGGGCUUAACUUGGGAAUUGCAUUUCAUACUGGGGAACUAGAGUACAGGAGAGGAAAGUGGAAUUCCAAGUGUAGCGGUGAAAUGCGUAGAGAUUUGGAGGAACACCAGUGGCGAAGGCGACUUUCUGGACUGAAACUGACGCUGAGGCUCGAGAGCGUGGGGAGCAAACAGG
rnacentral:rRNA from 1 species